GGCACCUACGGGGCGCAGCAGUGGGGGAUAUUGCACAAUGGGGGAAACCCUGAUGCAGCGACGCCGCGUGGGUGAAGAAGCGCCUCGGCGCGUAAAUCCCUGUCAGCAGGGAAGAAAACGACGGUACCUGAAGAAGAAGCCCUGGCUAACUACGUGCCAGCAGCCGCGGUAAUACGUAGGGGGCAAGCGUUAUCCGGAUUUACUGGGUGUAAAGGGGGCGCAGACGGCGAUGCAAGCCAGGAGUGAAAGCCCGGGGCCCAACCCCGGGACUGCUCUUGGAACUGCGUGGCUAGAGUGCAGGAGGG
rnacentral:rRNA from 1 species